UACGUAGGGGGCUAGCGUUGUCCGGAAUCAUUGGGCGUAAAGCGCGUGUAGGCGGCCCGAUAAGUCCGCUGUGAAAGUCCAGGGCUCAACCCUGGGAUGCCGGUGGAUACUGCCGGGCUAGAGUACGGAAGAGGCGAGUGGAAUUCCUGGUGUAGCGGUGGAAUGCGCAGAUAUCAGGAGGAACACCAAUAGCGAAGGCAGCUCGCUGGGACGUUACUGACACUGAGGCGCGAAAGCGUGGGGAGCGAACAGG
rnacentral:rRNA from 1 species